GGAGAGUUGGCAGAGCGGUCGAAUGCACCGGUUUUGAAAACCGGCGUCCCUCACGGGACCGGGGGUUCAAAUCCCUCACUCUCCG
rnacentral:tRNA from 1 species